AACGAACGCUGGCGGCAUGCCUAACACAUGCAAGUCGAACGAGACCACCGGGACUAGUGGCUCAUAGGGGCGUAACGUGUGGGAACCUGCCGUUAGACUCGGAAUAACACUUCGAAAGGGGUGCUAAUACAGGAUAAUGUAUGCGGAUAAAAGAUUUAUCUCAUUUGGAUGGGCACGCGUUGGUUUAGCUAGUUGGUAGGGUAAAAGCCUACCAAGGAUACGAUACAUAGCUGGUCUGAGAGGCUGAGCAGCCACACUGGGACUGAGACACGGCGCAGACUCCUGCGGGAGGCAGCAGUGGGGAAUAUAGGACAAUCGGCUAGAGCCAGAUCCACCAAUGCCGCUUGAGUGAUGAAGGCCUUAGGGUUGUAAAGCUCUUUUACCCGCGAUGAUAAUGACAGUACCGAGAGAAUAAGCACCGGCUAACUCCGUG
rnacentral:rRNA from 1 species